rnacentral:rRNA from 1 species
ACGGAAGGCAGCAGUGGGGGAUAUUGCACAAUGGGGGAAACCCUGAUGCAGCAACGCCGCGUGAAGGAAGAAGGUCUUCGGAUUGUAAACUUCUGUUCUUAGUGACGAAACAAAUGACGGUAGCUAAGGAGAAAGCCACGGCUAACUACGUGCCAGCAGCCGCGGUAAUACGUAGGUGGCAAGCGUUGUCCGGAAUUACUGGGUGUAAAGGGUGCGCAGGCGGGACUGCAAGUUGGAUGUGAAAUACCGAGGCUUAACUUCGGGGCUGCAUCCAAAACUGUGGUUCUUGAGUGAAGUAGAGGUAGGCGGAAUUCCGAGUGUAGCGGUGAAAUGCGUAGAUAUUCGGAGGAACACCAGUGGCGAAGGCGGCCUACUGGGCUUUAACUGACGCUGAGGCACGAAAGUAUGGGGAGCAAACAGGAUUAGAUACCCUGGUA